CUUUCUUUGCUGGCGGCCGGCGCACGGGUGAGUAACACGUAUCCAACCUGCCCUUUACUCGGGGAUAGCCUUUCGAAAGAAAGAUUAAUACCCGAUGGCAUAAUUAGACCGCAUGGUUUGAUUAUUAAAGAAUUUCGGUUAUCGAUGGGGAUGCGUUCCAUUAGGCAGUUGGUGAGGUAACGGCUCACCAAACCUUCGAUGGAUAGGGGUUCUGAGAGGAAGGUCCCCCACAUUGGAACUGAGACACGGUCCAA
rnacentral:rRNA from 1 species